rnacentral:rRNA from 1 species
GACGAACCAUGCAAACGUUAUUCGGAAUUACUGGGCUUAAAGCGUGCGUAGGCGGCUCAGAAAGUUGGGUGUGAAAUACCUCGGCUUAACCGAGGAAUUGCGCCCAAAACUACUGGGCUUGAGGGAGUUAGAGGUGAGCGGAACUCACGGUGGAGCGGUGAAAUGCGUUGAUAUCGUGAGGAACACCGGAGGCGAAAGCGGCUCACUGGGGCUUCACUGACGCUGAGGCACGAAAGCCAGGGGAGCAAACGGG